rnacentral:lncRNA from 1 species
GUGGGCCCCUUCAGUAAGGUUGGGUGCAGAGAAAUGAGGCUUGGAGAGGGAAUCUGGUGAAAGCACACAGAGAAGUUUCACUGAGUAAAGCAGGAGUGAAACUCAAUGGGAAUUGAAGAAGUGGACACAAAAGCGGAUAGGACAUUUCUCCAAUAAGCCUGGCUAUGAAGAGAGAGGGAAAGAUAAGGCAGAAAGGGGUGUGUGUUGGGGGGAGUGUUUGGGGUUGUUAUGUGUGUGUGUUUCUAAGAUAAGAGAGAUGUGAGUGAGUUUAAAUGCUGAAGGGAAGAAGCCAGAGUCAGGAGCAGGUAGAGCAAGAUGCUUAAUGUGGGAGAGUCUGAGAAGGUGAGUCUGAGAAGAUGCUUCCAAGAACUGAUGCUGUUGGGUUCUCUGUUGAACAAUAUGAUCUUAAUUUUUCAGCAGAGGCCAGAGAGCUUGGUGGAUAAGAGAACAGCUUCUGGAAUCAGAUGUCCUGGUUUAAAUACAAGCUCUGCCACUUGCUAGAAGACCAGACGUGAAUUCCACCUGCCCAGAAGCUUAUGCUGAACGGUCCGGGGCUGACCCAAAGGGAGCUGGGCUUUUCUUCGCCUCGAGAAUCCUGGGAGACCAGUAAGAGUGCUAAAUCCGCCAACCACGCGGGCUAUUCCGCAAAACACGAUGCAACCAUAGAAGGUGGGUUAU